UUUGACCUAAUUCAUGUCGAUUGUGUAUUGUGAUUCUCUCUCUCUCUCUCUUCCCCCCAAAUGGCUCGCACUAAAACCCUAAACCCCUUCUCUGCGUCUGCGUUCGCGAGGCCCGAGCGAAGCGAGAUAGGCAAUGGACGCGACCAGGGAACUGCUGGACCUGCUGAUCCGUCCAUGGAUUUCGAACAGUGGCGUGUAGGGUACGAAAUUCAGAUUCCCAAGUAAGCGACUUGUCGCAGCUCAUUGCUCGCAGUACUCAAGCGCAACGAUCUCUUCAUUUUCUUGCCACUCGUCAAACUUCUUGAGCUUGGUACCCGUCCGAAAUGAGCCCCCUUUCGGCGUCGAGGAAAUCCAUUAAGACCCUUUCCGGUCUUGUCAUUGUCAUCCCAAAACUCGUCUCUGUUGAAACCUCCCGAGCCCUAUGCACCCACGAUCACACUCUCCGGAGAUGUGCCGGGCUUUUGCGCUUCUCUCCUUCGUUCUCGACGCGGUCGUCGAAAUACCCUGAAUACGAAAUGCCUUCCGUGACUUGGGGUGUUGUGCAGGGCCGCAAAGAAAAGCUUGUUUCGCGCGUGAUAAUAUGCGAUUACUUGAAGGGGAUAGGGAUAAUUCCGGAUGAAUUGGAGAAUCUGGAGCUGCCCUCGACUGUUGAGGUAAUGAGGGAGCGUGUUGAGUUCCUGCAGAAGUUGGGCUUGACAGUUGAUGACAUAAAUGAAUACCCUCUGAUGCUUGGUUGUAGUGUGCGCAAAAAUAUGAUACCGGUGCUUGGCUAUCUCGAAAAGAUUGGGAUUCAGAGGCCGAGGCUUGGAGAAUUUGUGAAGAAUUACCCGCAGGUGUUACAUGCCAGUGUGGUUGUUGAGCUAGCUCCGGUUGUGAAGUUUCUCCGAGGACUUGAUGUGGAGAAACAAGAUAUCGGUUAUGUUCUGCAGAAAUAUCCGGAACUAUUGGGGUUUAAGCUAGAGGGAACGAUGAGUACUUCGGUUGCUUAUCUUGUCAGCAUUGGAGUUAGUCCUAGAGAUAUCGGUCCAAUGGUUACCCAGUAUCCGUAUUUCCUGGGGAUGAGAGUUGGGACGGUGAUUAAGCCUCUGGUUGAUUACCUGGUUUCUUUGGGUUUGCCGAAGAAAAUUGUUGCAAGGAUGUUGGAGAAGCGAGCAUAUAUACUUGGCUAUGAUCUUGAAGAGACAGUUAAACCUAAUAUUGAUUGUUUGAUUAGCUUUGGUAUAAAAAGGGAAUCUCUAGCAUCGGUUAUUGCUCAAUACCCACAAAUUCUUGGGCUUCCUUUGAAAGCUAAAUUGUCUUCGCAGCAAUACUUCUUUACUUUAAAGCUCAAGAUUGACCCAGAGGGAUUUGCUGAAGUAGUAGAGAAGAUGCCACAAAUAGUUAGCCUUAACCAAAAUGUCAUCAUGAAACCUGUAGAGUUCCUUUUAGGCCGAGGAAUACCCUCUGAGGAUGUGGCAAAGAUGAUUGUGAAGUGUCCUCAGUUAGUUGCCCUGCGGGUUGAGCUCAUGAAGAACAGUUACUAUUUCUUCAAGAGCGAUAUAGGGAGACCUUUGAAAGAGCUCGUCGAGUUUCCUGAAUACUUCACUUAUAGCUUGGAAUCUAGGAUAAAGCCUAGGUAUCAGAGGUUACAAAGCAAGGGAAUCAGAUCUUCAUUGAAUUGGUUUCUUAAUUGCAGUGACCAUAGAUUUGAGGAGCGGAUGCAGGCUCAAUAUAUUGAAAGAGAUUUUGAAGGCCCAUCUUUUUGUAUUGGAGGAAAACUAGAGCUACCGGGGGGUCAGAUAGUCUCAGAUGAGGAAGUUGAGAGUGAUGAUGAAGUACUUUACCGAAGAACAGUUUCUCUUUAAAAUCUUGUCUGGUGUGACUAAAAAGGAGCGUCCCUUUUGAGGUUGGUGCUUGCUUUUGCUCUAAGAGUCUUAUAUGCUGGUCUAUCUUGGCCAGGUUUAACUAGGUCACCACUUAUGACGAGGUCUUAUGUAAGUUUUUGGGGUUCCUUGAUCUUGUAGUUCCAAGAAUGACAACAUUUUUUUCGCGGCCUGGUUGUUCAUGGGAUGAUCAUGCCCUCGAGUAAUAUUGCUAGAGAUGUCACUGCAAGUACUUGUGGAUUUAUGUCUUGUGGAGGAUUUUUUGCUGGAGAUUGAUCCCAGGCUGACUCUAGAGUUUCUAAUUGUGGACGUUAGGCAUAAUAGGCAUAGCGUGGUUUGAUCAAACACAUGGUGGGCAACUGUUAUUUUGAAAGGAAUGGGUCUGCUGGAUUCCUGCAGCCAGAGUUCAUAUGGACGUGACUUUUUGUACCAUCAAUACGAAAAGCAAAGAAUGGCACGGGCAGCUCGGCCCAAAUGAGCAGAUAAAGGAUGAACUUCUGGAGCUACUCCUGUUCGAAGAAAGUGAGCCAUUUGGCAUGGAUUCCUUGCUGGAACCUGUUGGAAAUGCUUGGAUGGAAGAACUCGGAGGUCAUGAUUUUGGCGGUGGUGCGAGUUCAUCAAGAACUUGAAGUAAUUGUUGCCUUGUCCGUUUUAUUGGGGGUUACUGUUAGUGGUACUUGUCUGUCAAUCAUUAUGUGUUCUGUAUAACGUAGAUCAUAAGGAGAAUGAGGUAAAAUGAAUCGCUGUAAGAAAAUACUCUCUGGAAUGUCAUUAUUUCAUUUCACUUGUU